UUUAGAUAUUAAAGAGCACCAAUUAUGCUAAUAAAUUGGCACGUUAGCACGUAAAUGCAGUAUCCCAUAGUACAUACAUGUUAUUAAAACUUGAACUAAUGCAUUGUGAGUCUUAUAAAUUGCUUACAUACCUCACCGAUUUCCCACUGUCUGAAAAACGCUCGGUUAAGUUCCUGUCUCCGCCUCCCAAAAUGUCUAGUGUAAUCGGAUUGGUCAGAUGACUACUCAACUGUUAUUGGUCAGCUGGGUUCGUCGUGUGUUUGAAAGGUUACGCCCCUGACUACGUGUGGGUUGACACACCGGUUCUGACUGAGAGAGUCACAGCCUCAGAGGCAACGUAAACAAGCGUUAUAUUUCUCUAUAAACGAUGGUGUCUGUACUGCCUUACCACUUCGAGCUCGAUCCAGAGAGUUCAGAAGGCCGUUACGAUAUAAACGAUCUCCGUCAAUGAAUGCGAUUGGAUUUAACUUUUUUAGGUGUCCUUAGCUCUGCCAGAAUGCUAAACGAAGACGAAAAUGUGUUGCAAAGACAUCCAAAAGGUAAUUAUAACGUACUACAUAACUAUAUGGAAACACCAAAUGUAGCACAUAGAAAGUAUUUGUUGAAAUGAUUAUAAAACGAUUUCACUUGGUAAUUUCUACAUUAUUUUACUAUAGUAAAAUGUAUUAUAAAAGACUGUUUACAUACUCUAUUACUGUGCAAACUAUAUGGAAACACCAAAUGUAGCACAUAGAAAGUAUUUGUUGAAAUGAUUAUAAAACGAUUUCACUUGGUAAUUUCUACAUUAUUUUACUAUAGUAAAAUGUAUUAUAAAAGACUGUUUACAUACUCUAUUACUGUGCAAACUAUAUGGAAACACCAAAUGUAGCACAUAGAAAGUAUUUGUUGAAAUGAUUAUAAAACGAUUUCACUUGGUAAUUUCUACAUUAUUUUACUAUAGUAAAAUGUAUUAUAAAAGACUGUUUACAUACUCUAUUACUGUGCAAACUAUAUGGAAACACCAAAUGUAGCACAUAGAAAGUAUUUGUUGAAAUGAUUAUAAAACGAUUUCACUUGGUAAUUUCUACAUUAUUUUACUAUAGUAAAAUGUAUUAUAAAAGACUGUUUACAUACUCUAUUACUGUGCAAACUAUAUGGAAACACCAAAUGUAGCACAUAGAAAGUAUUUGUUGAAAUGAUUAUAAAACGAUUUCACUUGGUAAUUUCUACAUUAUUUUACUAUAGUAAAAUGUAUUAUAAAAGACUGUUUACAUACUCUAUUACUGUGCAAACUAUAUGGAAACACCAAAUGUAGCACAUAGAAAGUAUUUGUUGAAAUGAUUAUAAAACGAUUUCACUUGGUAAUUUCUACAUUAUUUUACUAUAGUAAAAUGUAUUAUAAAAGACUGUUUACAUACUCUAUUACUGUGCAAACUAUAUGGAAACACCAAAUGUAGCACAUAGAAAGUAUUUGUUGAAAUGAUUAUAAAACGAUUUCACUUGGUAAUUUCUACAUUAUUUUACUAUAGUAAACUUUAUUAUAAAAUACUGCUUACAUACUAUUUUACUGUGCUAUGUUUUUACUUAUUAGGUUUUAAGGAGAAUGCAACAGGUUCCAGGGCCUCUUACCUGCGUGAUUCAUCAUCCAGGUUUUGCACAAAUUGUCUAAAUCCCUACACACAGAACAUUUAUUGUACCGACUAUAAGCCUUUGAGGCGCAGGACUAGAAUAUGCUUGGAGCUUCCUGAUCGGAAUGUUGGCUUCCGACGACCCCUGCACUGAAGAUGGCAUGCAAUCACGUCCUCCUUUGAAGGUCUCUCAAACUGUGAUGCCAGGUCCAUUGGAAUCGGGGUUUCCUUCAGCUUAUCUUCAAAUACCUCAUCAAACACAAGCCUGAUCACAUCAUCCACAUAACUGUACAAAUAUUGCAGUCAAUAAAUCUUUUGUUUUGAUAAUUUAUUUCCCUGCUUCAUACAUUAAGUUUUUAAUUAUGAAUGUAUUUGAAAUAAAACAUUACUGCUUACAGUA